CUGUAUGAGCUUUCGUAACGUUCGGUUGUGUGACAGUUCAGUGUGGAAGUGAUAAUUCAAAAAAAACGCAGGCGACAAAAACAAAAUAGGAACUACAUAAUAGAGCUACAGAAAAACAAGAAGAAGGACAAGGACCACAUAGGACCAAAAAAAAAAAAUAGAUCUGAAGUUGACAGGACACCUGGUUGUGCAUUGCCUUGAGCAAGACGCGCAUAACCAAUAACAUGUACUGGGUAAAUGAUUAAAAAAAAAUCGAAACCCAAAAAAAAGGAAGAAGAAGAAGAAGAAGAAGAGCGAAGUGACGACACCAUCUUUUUUAUUUGGAUUAGUGCUGUUUCACUCUUACGCAUAGUAAAGCUGCUAUACUACAUUCGCUCUCGCGAGAUUUUUUUUGAGACAUUCGGAAUAGGAAACGUACAACACAAAAAUUCCUACCUCACACUAUUAACUGCUAAAAUCAACUCAAAUCAACUUAAUCUUUCAUUAAAAAAAGAAGAAUUAUUAGAAAUAGUGGGAGUGUCUACUAAUCUCAUAAAAUUUUGUGAAGUUUAUUUCUACAAAAUAUUUUUAUUUUGUACAAUAAAUAAUUUUCUCAUUUGCUAUCAAUACAUUAUAAUGGUUUAAAUAAAUAAAUAUUGAUUGGCGUAAGGUUUAUGUUAUUUUUAUGUCUGUUUACUAUUAAUAAUAUUGGAUAUGAGCAGGUGCGUUGGUUUUGUAGUAAUUUCCAGUCACUUCUGACAACUGAAUUUUUCAAAAAAGAAAUUACUAACGUCAGUGUCAAAAAAAAUCUCGCGAGAGCGAAUGUAGUAUACAGUUGUCCUCCUCUUCCGUGCCUAUAUUCACACUGAAUGUCAUCAUAGAUUUUCGAUACAAUGUGUAGAAAGAGAUGCAGCAAACCAGUCCAUGAGAUCUUGUCGUCAGGAAGCGCGGAAGGUAGGCUCCCUCUAUGUUAAUAUAUACCUCUAUGCGUCCGAGACAGGACGAGCCGUUAAAUACCGCUAUGAAUUCCACGAUUUUAUUGGUUAGAACUACCCACGUGAUAUCUGUGUUCAUAUUGGUCAGAGUGACAAUCAGCUGUUAGACAUCAUUAUGUGAUGGAAUUUUUAUUAUGAUGUAAAUAAAUAUUUAUUACUGAUAA